CCCAACCAGAAGCUCCAUGGAGGGAGAAUCCAGGAAGACUAUUAAAAUGCCUGGGUGAAGAGGAAAAUCUUCGCUAGGGUCAAAGGCACUUGGUAAUGCCCCUUACUGCAAUCAAGCAUAGAAGUAUAUUCCCUGACUGCUCAACUAUCUGAUCAACCUGUGGAAAAGGGUAGGAAUCAAGCCCUGAGAUCUUAUUGAACUUCCUGAUGUCUAUGUACAAUCCAUACUCAGUGGAUGAAAGAAAAAAGAAGUGUGAAAUGAAAGCUCAUCUUUCAAAGGACUUCUAAAAGCCAUUUUUUAAUCCCCCACAGUGGCAAUGGCAUUCCCACACACACACCUACUCCACCUUUGUGCAGGAAGACAUACGCACCAGACUUUUUAUCAUCUCUGUCAAGUGAAAUUAUUGGUGCUCUACCUGUCCCAAAUUGACCUGACAACUGUUACCUCUGGACUGGACUACUACAACUCGCUUUACUUAGGACUUCCCUUGGGCCUUCUCCAGAAACUCCAGUUGGUGCAAAAUGCAGCAGCAAGGAUCCUAACGGGACCCCAUGGUGGACUCAUCCCCAGCAGCUCUCAUUGUGCCAGGCCAUUAGCUGUUUGCCGCAGCUGCAGGCUCGCUCCCACCCACCCACCCCCCCGCCCGGGAGGCCAGGGAAAGCAGGAGCUGGCCUGCCACUG